UCCAAAGGUAGUGAGUUAAUUCAAUUGAUCAGUCAGUUUCAUGUCAAACUUUUUGUUCUAUGCUUUUCCACCUUCUCACCACAGCACUUGA
rnacentral:sRNA from 1 species